AUGAUGUGUCCUGUCCAGUCCCUGUUUCUGCUAAUGUUCUGGAUUCUGGGAACCAGUGGUGAUGUUGUGAUGACCCAGACUCCACUCUCUUUGCCAGUUACCAUUGGACAGUCAGCUUCCAUUUCUUGCCGGUCAAGUCAGAGCCUCUUAUAUAGUGAUGGAAAAACAUAUUUGAAUUGGAUGCUACAGAAACCAGGCCAGUCUCCACAGCACCUAAUUUAUCAAGUGUCCAAUCUUGACUCUGGAGUCCCAGACAGGUUCAGUGGCAGUGGGCCUGGGACAGAUUUCACUCUCAAAAUCAGCAGAGUGGAGCCUGAGGAUUUGGGAGUUUAUUACUGCUACCAAGCUACAUAUUAUCCUCCCACAGUGAUGCAGACCCUAACAAAAACCUCCUCACUUGGGAAGGCCCAGCUGCAGUGA